rnacentral:rRNA from 1 species
CAGCAGCCACGGUAAUACGUAGGUGGCAAGCGUUGUCCGGAAUUAUUGGGCGUAAAGCGCGCGCAGGUGGUUUAAUAAGUCUGAUGUGAAAGCCCACGGCUCAACCGUGGAGGGUCAUUGGAAACUGUUAAACUUGAGUGCAGGAGAGAAAAGUGGAAUUCCUAGUGUAGCGGUGAAAUGCGUAGAGAUGUGGAGGAACACCAGUGGCGAAGGCGACUCUCUGGUCUGUAACUGACGCUGAGGAGCGAAAGCGUGGGGAGCGAACAGGAUUAGAUACCCGUGUAGUCCCUGUCUCUUAUAC